rnacentral:misc_RNA from 1 species
UCACUGCUUACGCAGGCAGUUCCACUAGAGUCCCCGGCAUUACCCGCUGGCAACUAAUGGUAGGGGUUGCGCUCGUUACAGGACUUAACCCAACACCUCACGGCACGAGCUGACGACAGCCAUGCAGCACCUAGUUUCGUGUCCUUUCGGAAAGCUCCCUUUCAGGAGCGGUCACUAACUUUCAAGCCCAGGUAAGGUUCCUCGCGUACCAUCGAAUUAAACCACAUGCUCCUCCGCUUGUGCGGGCCCCCGUCAAUUCCUUUGAGUUUCAAUCUUGCGAUCGUACUCCCCAGGUGGAUUACUUAACGCUUUCGCUUUGACACGUACCCUAACGGGCACACAUCUAGUAAUCAACGUUUACGGCGUGGACUAC